rnacentral:lncRNA from 1 species
AUUACACUAUGAGCGCUUCUAGAUUUAUUAAAUGUGUUACCGUCGGCGAUGGUGCUGUAGGCAAGACCUGUUUGUUGAUCUCUUAUACCAGUAACACCUUCCCCACGGUCAGCUNUUAUACCAGUAACACCUUCCCCACGGUCAGCUCUCUCUCUCUCUCUCCCUCCCUAUAGACUAGAAUGUUUGUCAUUUCUUGGUUUAUUAUUUGAUUCGGUAUUUGCCCUAAUUUUAACCUGGUUGCUUUCUGUUUUGACGUGUUGCUAUUUUUGCAAAAUUGAUUUUUG